CCCAACGUUUUUCAGUGCGUCUUCCAAUAGACACGCCAUAAGGGCCGAAAUAAUCUGUGCCUGUAUACGUGAAUGGCUUACAAUAUGGUGUAGUUCUAGAACGUGGUAGGGCUGCCAUCAUUGGAGGAAUUGGCUCCGCAGACAUAUUUUUACAAAAUUGGCACUUCCUUCUAACUGUCUUAAUAGCAACUCUGAUGUUUGUUAUCCAGAAUUUUUGUCGCACUGCCGCUAUGGCAGUCUCCAGGUUUUUAUGUCGAUAUUUUUCGUGAUAAUGACGUAAUAUCAAAGUGCUCACAUAAUGCUUGUAGGACAGAAUGAUAGGUGUUCUGGCUGAAGUUGGUAAACAGUUAGCGUUCUCAAUACGUCCCUUUGAUCUCAUUAUUCCAUCCGUGCAAAUUUCCGGGCUAAGUGCUCGAAUUUCACUUCCCUUAUGAAUUUUCAUUUUAUUUUGUAAGAGUUCCAUUUCUUUGGGAUAUGACUCCCAUUGAGCCUUAUAUAUUAAAACGAGCUCAGCAUAAUCCAGGUCCUCCUUGUCAAUAUUUUUAUUGAAGCUUUGGUUCCUGCAUUUUGAUUUCAGCCAAUCGAUAUAUUUGAAUGCAAUUGCAACAGAACGCUUCAAUCUCACAAAAUCCGAACACCAAUUUAUGUGAAUGCUUUUCAGACCACUAAACUCUUUCGAUUGAAUAGUGUGCAGUGGUCUUAAUUCUUCGUCAGUGUCGCUUCUCUGAACUUCAUUUGGCCAGUUUUCUUCAUUAUCAUAUAAGAACUGUGGGCCUGUAAACCAGAUUGAAUUACUAUUUGAUAAUUUCGUAGCUUCAUCCGCUGGAUUAUUCCUACUAUUCACCCAUUUCCACUGGUUUACGUAUGUGGUUUCUAAUAUUUCUCCUAUCCGUAAGGCAACAAACUGUUUGUACUUGCGUGGUUCUGAACGAAUCCAUGCUAAUACAGUUUUGGAAUCUGACCAAAAUACUACUCUAUCUAUUGAUAGACGUAGCUCGUUUUUUACUGUCUUAGCCAAUCUGCUUCCUAAUACAGCGGCUUGUAAUUCGAGUCGUGGUAUGGAAAGCAUUUUAGUUGGUGCGACUCUUGCCUUGGCAGCCACGAUAUUGACAUCAAUGUGUGACUCAUAUACACUCCUUAAGUAUACUGCUGCUGCAUAAGCAUUCUCAGAUGCAUCAACGAAGACAUGUAGUUCUCGUUCUUUUGGGUGAGAAGAAUUGGCAUAUGAACGUGGUAUUCUUAUUGCUCUUGCUUCUUCCAGUUUUGUGUGCCAGUUCUCCCAUUUUUUCUUUAGUGCUGGGUUUAAUUGUUCAUCCCAUGUUAUUCCACUUUUCCAGAGCUCCUGCAUUAGAAUUCGAGAUUGAAUUGUUAUAUGUGAUAAUAAACCAAGUGGAUCGUAAACACUCAUGCUUUGUGAAAGCAGUUUUCGUUUCGUAAACUCCUGUGUAACAGGAAUAUCCACCUUGUAGCGAAUAAAAUCCUUUUUUGUAUCCCAAUACACUCCGAGUACUUUUUCAUAUGAUUCCUCAAAUUUUCCUAAUAAGUCUUCUUUAACUUCCGUUCUAUUUUCUUCCGGGAUUUGUCCCAAUAGCUCAUUACUGUUGGAUAUAAAAUUUCUGAUAUUGAAGUGCCCAUAUUUGUGAAUGGUAAUAACUUCGUUCACAAUUUUUGAGGCAUUUUCUAAAUCGUCGAAACUAUCUAGGUAGUCAUCCACGUAAUGGUUGUUUUGAAUGGCCUCUACUGCCUGAAGAUGACUUUCUCUGAAUUUCUCAGCAUUUGUGUUUUUAACAAACUGUGCGCAUGCGGGCGAGCAGGUAGCUCCAAAGGUCAUCACUUGCAUCACAUACACGUCGGGAUCUUCGUCAAAGUUUUCCCUAAAUAAAAACCUUUGGGCAUUUUGAUCUUCCUUUCUUAUUUUAACUUGAUGAAACAUUUCUUUGAUGUCUCCAGUUAUCGCAAAUUUUCCUUCUCUAAAUCGUAUUAACACUCCAAAUAGCGACGUCGUUGCAUCCGGGCCUUGUAAUAAAUUCGUGUUUAGGGACUCUCCCUUAACCUUAGCAGCGGCAUCAAAAACAAGCCGUGGCUUUAUGGGCUGUUUAUUUAGGUUCACAACUGUAAAGUGCGCCCUAUACACUUAUGCUAUUUGCCUUAAACAGCAUUUGAAUCAUCUAUUUAGUCAGACCCACUCUGACGUUAGACCUAUCUCUUCCACGUUCACAUCUAACGACUUUACGGCUCAAAAUUACUCCAUCAAAAUAUGAAAUUGUCAUCAGCCUGGAUUCUAUAAACAUCAAUUAAUAUUCUGGAAGAGUUUUAAAUUGUCGAACAAAUACCAUGGUAUAGUUAUAACCACGCGGAUUUCAUCCGGGGAAAGUCUAAUCCAUGACGACAGUGACAACAUCACAGAAUCUGAAUGUAAAAUUCCGAAAAUUUCUGAAAGUCUUGAGAAAUUCUAUCCAUCGGUCCAGAAAUGACAAAAUACCAAAAAGUUGUGCCAAAUGUCAAAGAUUGCAUGAAAUAUGGCGACAGAAAGUAUUGGAAAUCGAAAUUUAAUUAGCUAAGCUAGCAGCUCGAAGUUUCAUAGCACCUCAGUAAAGUGUUCAGUUAAAACCAAAUUCAAAUGGCACGAUAGCAG